CCUACGGGUGGCAGCCGUGAGGAAUAUUGGUCAAUGGGCGCGAGCCUGAACCAGCCAAGUAGCGUGAAGGAUGACUGCCCUACGGGUUGUACACUUCUUUUAUAAAGGAAUAAAGUGUAGCACGUGUGCCUUUUUGUAUGUACUUUAUGCAUAAGGAACGGCUAACUCCGUGCCAGCAGCCGCGGUACUACGGAGGUUCCGAGCGUUAUCCGGAUUUAUUGGGUUUAAAGGGAGCGUAGAUGGGUUGUUAAGUCAGUUGUGAAAUUUUGCGGAUCAACCUUAAAAUUGCAAUUGAUACUGGCAGUCUUGAGUACAGUAGAGGUAGGCGGAAUUCGUGGUGUAGCGGUGAAAUGCGUAGAGAUCACGAAGAACUCCGAUUGCGAAGGCAGCUUACUAAACUGCCACUGACAUUGAUGCUCGAAAGUGUGGGUAUCAAACAGGAUUAGAUACCCUUGUAGUC
rnacentral:rRNA from 1 species